rnacentral:rRNA from 1 species
AUGAGCCGCCUCAUCAGCACGAUCGGCAGCGGCGUCCGCUCACCGAUGGCGUCCGCGGCCAUCGCCGCCGGCGGCGGCACACAUAAGCGCCCGCGAUGGCCCAGUGUGCGCAUGGAAAGGACAAGAGUCAGGGGUUGUUGCAGCUGCAGCUGUAGCGGCACCAAGACGGAGGCAGAACGUGGGGACACGAGGCUCGUGGUGAUCGUGGGGGCAACGGGCACCGGCAAGACCAAGCUGUCCAUCGACGCGGCCCUAGAGCUCGAUGGCGAGGUGGUGAACGCCGACAAGAUCCAGCUUUACCGCGGCCUCGACGUCACCACCAACAAGGUGAUGCCCGCCGACCGCCGCGGCGUCGUCCACCACCUCCUCGGCGCCAUCCGCGCCAACACCGGCGAGCUGCCCGCCUCCUCGUUCCGCUCGCUCGCCGCCGCCACGGCGGCCGACAUCGCGGCCCGCGGGCGCGUGCCAGUGGUGGCCGGCGGGUCCAACUCCCUCAUCCACGCCUUCCUCGCCGAGCGAUUUGACGACCACGCCCCUCGGGACCCAUUCGCCGCUGCGGCGACCGGAUACCGGCCGGCGCUCAGGUUCCCCUGCUGUCUCCUCUGGGUCGAUGUCGACGAGGCAGUUCUGGACGAAUACCUCGAUCGGCGCGUCGACGAUAUGCUGGGUGAGGGCAUGGUCGAGGAGCUCCGCGAAUACUUCGCGACAACGUCGGCCUCCGAGCGGGCCUCGCACGCCGGGCUGCGCAAGGCCAUCGGAGUACCGGAGAUCGGAGACUACUUCGCCGGGCGCAAGAGCCUCGCCGCCGCAGUAGACGAGAUCAAGGCGAACACGCGGGUGCUCGCGGCGGCGCAGGUCGGCAAGAUCCGGCGCAUGGCAGACGGCUGGGGCUGGCCCGUUCGGCGCCUCGACGCCACCGGCACCGUCCUUGCGCGGCUCGCGGGCGCCGGGCGCGACGCCGAGGCCGCGGCGUGGCAUCGCGACGUGCGCCGGCCGGGCCUCGCCGCCAUGCGGCAGUUCCUACGCAGCCAAGGACUGUCCAGAGACGACGACGCCGACGAAGAGGACGGAGUAGUGACACGGAGACAAUGCCAUGGCAUGGUGGGGUAA